UACGUAGGGUCCGAGCGUUGUCCGGAAUUACUGGGCGUAAAGAGCUCGUAGGUGGUUUGUCGCGUUGUUCGUGAAAAACUCACAGCUCAACUGUGGGCGUGCGGGCGAUACGGGCAGACUUGAGUACUGCAGGGGAGACUGGAAUUCCUGGUGUAGCGGUGGAAUGCGCAGAUAUCAGGAGGAACACCGGUGGCGAAGGCGGGUCUCUGGGCAGUAACUGACGCUGAGGAGCGAAAGCGUGGGGAGCGAACAGG
rnacentral:rRNA from 1 species